AAGGAACUACCCAAGGACAGGUUUUAUUUGGAAGGAAAAUUAAAAACAAAGAAGCCAGGAAGAAAAAGUCAUGAAAAGUAAGAAAAAAUGGGUAGCUAUCCAAAAUGAUAAUUGCAGGACACUCCAGGGAAGACUCACCGAGCCAGGAUGUUUUGACAAAUACACCAUGGGAAUGCUUCAACAAAUUGGCAUUAACUUUAAAAAAAGUUCCCAAUUCUGCAGAGAAUAAAUGACUGGCUGCUGACCACCUUGGAGGGGUCUCACUGAGAGCAGCCUGCUCGGACUCAGCUGUCAACCCAUGAGCAACUGAAGAAAUAUCCCCCCUCUACAGCAACACUGAGUUUCUGAGGUCACUGGGCAUUCCGACAGAAACCCCGACAACAAACAGAAAUCAUCUGCAGUGAUAAUACUCUUUUCAAGAAUGGAAGAAAAACUUACUUUUGGGUUUAAAGUACACAGUUUCCAUUAUAUUUAGCAAAAGCAACAUGGUUCAUUUUGGAGCUAGGAACAAAGCGUCAGUGGCUAGAGCCACACUAUGGAAAAUUUGAUAAUGUCGGUGAUAGAAAAUUUGCCAGUGACAGAAUAUAAGACCCAAACAGCUCAUAAAAAUAAACAGAUAGGUACCUCUUCUGCUAGAGAGAACAGCUUGCAGGAAGACGCCUACAGGAUGCUGGAAAAUUUAAGUGCAAUCCUAAAAGCCCUUCUUCAAAGAUGCAUGAGAGUGGCUAUGAGACAACACCUCGGAAGGACAUCCAUGGGAUUGAAGCCUGAGCAGCUGCUGCCAUGUCAUCAGCACAAGGGGACACUCAAGGCUCAGACCUCUGUGUUCUGUAGCCAGCAUGUCUGAAGUGGCACAGAGUACUCAGCAGCAGCAGUCAGAAGCGAGACCUCAUGCUGCUCCCUCUCCCUGGCUGCCCAAGUUUGCCUGCCUGCCUUCCUUCUCCCUCAGCAUCUGAGUAGAAGGAACCUGGAAGCAUGCUCAUCUUCUGCCCGUGGGGAGGGAGCUCUGGAAAAAAAAUCACUUUACCUAAUCCGUCCUUUUUACAGAGAAGCUCAUUUCACUGAAGUAAACAGAAAUGAUCCGACGUGGCUACAGGAAAGUGAGGGUACUGUUCCUUUAAACCCCUUGAAGCCAAAUUUAUUCCCCCACGAGGUCAGAGUCACUGGCCCCUGUUUAAAUGAAGGAGUGAAUAUUAAAGACCUUUAUACUAGGAAAAUAGUUUGGGUCUUAAAAAGUAAGCUGACCUGAAAUAGACCAAACCUACAAAAUUUAUUUCCACUCCAUCAGACUCCAUACCCCGAGGGUGUGCGAGCGUGACCAGCAAGCUGUGUUAGGUCACGAAUACUCGAGAAGCAGGCAUUGCGCGUGCAGUUCGGAACCCGUGCGAUAAUCAAUGUAAGAACAGUGCUGGAUCCGGCUCCAGUGAGGGGUAGGGCUGAUGCAUACCUUUGGGUCUUCUGGCAUUUCCACUCUUCUGCAGCUCAUCUUCCUCAUUAAUGGUGAAUAGAGCAAGGGGAAUUGUCCUUGCAGGAGUCUUCUUCAGUCUCUCUUGUCGGAUCGCUGUAGCUGACCCAGGCAUAACGCUGCUACUUGUUCGGCAAUUAUAUUAAAUAUAUAUGCUUAUGUAAUUGCAGCUCCCAGAAGCUGCUAGCUCC
rnacentral:lncRNA from 1 species